CUCCCACCCCUGUGAUUAUACCUUUAAUUGUUGCUUCGGCGGGACUUCGCGCCCGCCGGGGACCCAAACCUUCUGAAUUUUUUAAUAAGUAUCUUCUGAGUGGUUAAAAAAAAAAUGAAUCAAAACUUUCAACAACGGAUCUCUUGGUUCUGGCAUCGAUGAAGAACGCAGCGAAAUGCGAUAAGUAAUGUGAAUUGCARAAUUCAGUGAAUCAYCGAAUCUUUGARCGCRSRUUGCGCCSGUCAKUAUUCUGGCGGGCAUGCCUGUUCGAGCGUCAUUACGCCCCUCAAGUCCCCUGUGGACUUGGUGUUGGGGAUCGGCGAGGCUGGUUUUCCAGCACAGCCGUCCCUUAAAUUAAUUGGCGGUCUCGCCGUGGCCCUCCUCUGCGCAGUAGUAAAGCACUCGCAACAGGAGCCCGGCGCGGUCCACUGCCGUAAAACCCCCCAACUUUUUAUAGUGACCUCGAAUCA
rnacentral:rRNA from 1 species